GAUGAACGCUGGCGGCGUGCCUAAUACAUGCAAGUAGAACGCUGAAGGAAGGAGCUUGCUCUUUCCGGAUGAGUUGCGAACGGGUGAGUAACGCGUAGGUAACCUGCCUGGUAGCGGGGGAUAACUAUUGGAAACGAUAGCUAAUACCGCAUAACAGUAGAUGUUGCAUGAUAUCUACUUAAAAGGUGCAAUUGCACCACUACCAGAUGGACCUGCGUUGUAUUAGCUAGUUGGUGAGGUAACGGCUCACCAAGGCGACGAUACAUAGCCGACCUGAGAGGGUGAUCGGCCACACUGGGACUGAGACACGGCCCAGACUCCUACGGGAGGCAGCAGUAGGGAAUCUUCGGCAAUGGACGGAAGUCUGACCGAGCAACGCCGCGUGAGUGAAGAAGGUUUUCGGAUCGUAAAGCUCUGUUGUAAGAGAAGAACGAGUGUGAGAGUGGAAAGUUCACACUGUGACGGUAUCUUACCAGAUAGGGACGGCUAACUACGUG
rnacentral:rRNA from 1 species